CCCAGCAAUAGGCAACAGCCUAGGUUGCCUUGUACCUAGACAAGUAUUACAUUGCUGGAAGAAUAACAGCCAAUAGAAGGUGGGCAUU
ensembl:snoRNA SNORA74 Small nucleolar RNA SNORA74